UGAAUUUGGCGCUCUGCAAUCUCACUGGAUGAUGGCCAGAUGGGACGCUAGCGUCCCACAUACCCUAGAGAGGUUUUAACAUUUAUAACUCAGACCUGUGCAUUUCAACUAAUUUCAUUGCAGCGGCCUCCUCUUGCAAUCUUCCCUAAGCCAAUCUUUUACUCCUAAACAGUACCAGUCUAUCAUUCAAACUGACUCUUAAAUGUACCCUGUCUUGUUCAUUAUCAUGUGAAUGAGGAGGUUCGGCAGCAGCCCUGUCUGGCUUUAAUCUCUUGGUCUGUAAGUCCAUCAAUUCUGAUACUCUCUGGUCUUUAGGGGCGUAUAAACAUAACAUUUUCUAAAAUAAUCUUAUGGAAAUGCAUUUCUGUAAACAUAUAUUCCCUUUUUCUUAGCCUGUCAAUCUGCAGCCAAUUUAUAACCUUACCCACUCUGGGAGGAUGCUGGUGAGAGAGCUGGCAGUGUUAAACACACAGAUUUUCACAACGGAGCAGCCCAUUAUUAUCUGUUUCACUCCUGCUAGGAGGAUGGUAUGGGAGGAACUGUCCUCUCAAAUUGAACAGGAAGUCAUUCAUAUGCAGGCACCUCAGAUGUUUCCUUACCCUUUGAACACAGGCAUGUGUAGUUCAACUGCCGAUUGUCUUAGAAUCUAUCAUGCAGUGGCCUCCUCAUGCAAUCCUCCCUAUACCAGUAUGUCAGUCCUAUACUGCAGGCUACCUGUUUAUAAUUCAAACUGACUCUUAAUUUGAUUGUGUCUUGUUCCUUAGUAUGUGGAUGAGGAGGUUGGUCCUGUCUGGCUUUAAUCCCUUGGUCUGGACCCUUUUAUGUUCCUAUCUCCAUGAGUCUAUCCAUUCUGAUACUCUUUAGUCUUUAGAGGAUAUUAAACAUUAACAUCAAGUCACUAGUUUUCUAUUAAACAACAUAAUGAAAAUGUCUGUAAACAUAUUCCCUUGCCUUCAUAGCCUGCCUUCUCCAAGGCCAAACCAGUCUACUACCUCACCCUUGCUUGGAGAAUGCAAGUAACAGAGCUUGCAGUGUUAAACACACAGACUUCCAAUUUGGUUAUGGAGGAGCCUACCCUUCACCUUACAGAAGCUGGGAGGCUAGUGCUUGACGAACUGUCAGCACUUUCAGAUUGCCAUUCACAGGUAGCUGUUAGCAGUUGAUGUUACUCUUCAAUAACACUGACCCCAAAUCAAAUAAAGGGGUGGAAAAUAGGUUUAUUCUAAUUCAAAGAGGAUGAAUCAUGUGGGGAGGUAGAUGGUAGAUGUUCAUGCUCCCCUGUCCUCAGUGAUUCUCUUCAGUGAUUCUCUCCACAGAACAAAGAAACAGGAUGUAAUUUAUAACCCCACACCCUAGCCUGAGGCUGACCAAUUAGAAGUCCUUGCAGUACAACUGGACCAAUGGCCAAAUAAGAAGUAUCCUGCUCCAGACUCAGACCAAUGAAAACAUAGCACACAUAGCUAUGAGUUCAGGACUGACAUUCCGAAAAAUAUUCUAAACAGAUGUUGACCUGAAAAACAACUAUUUCCAUUGAUUGUUAAUUCUAAUCCUCUCGUCCUCUGCAUUGUGUAUUUAUCUUCAACAUAUUCUUACAUAGCCAAUCACAUUAUUAGACAGUCAUAGAUGAUUAGUAAUAGUACACAUUAACAUGUCCUCUAUCGCCACAAUUUGGUAUCUUAUUAAUCACAGAGCAAUCUCUAAAAUUAUGUCUUUGUUUUGCAGCCAAAUAGUGAAGACUCCUUUUCCUUAUGAGAAGUUGCAGCUGGUUGGGAACUGGGCAAAAUGAAGAGGACAUGCAUCACCUGUGCAUUUUGAGGGGAGUGGAGAAGCAGCUGUGGUGGAGCAGAGUCAUUCAGGAAAAAUCCUGGACCCAUGGGGUCUCGUCCAGGUGGCCUUCAACAACAAGGAGGUGACUGGUAUUAAGGUGCAGUCAAGCACUUUUUCACUGAAAAAGUGGCAAAGGUCCAUUUACCUAUUUGCAUAAAUACAUGUUGACAGAAAAUGAAAUGAUACAUUCUAAUCUCUUGCCUCAUUUUUAUUUCCUUGGUAGAAGGAUCCAUGGCCUUGUCAGGAGGAGGUCAGAGUUCACCUAUUAUGAGGAAGCCCAGGUUUAUUUCAGAGUUUGGUUGGGGGGUUCUCAAUAUGGUGGUUUUCAGUGUUGGGCUUGCAGUGUCACAUGUUGUGUGUUAAACAGCAGGUGGAUAUCUCCACCACGGGGGAGCGGUUCCAGGAGAGGGCUCAUGAGAUGACGGCAUAUCAACUCUCCACCUCUGACAUCAUCACCACCCCUCAUGAGCCUUCCUUCCCCAAUGAUUCUCCGCCACCCCCUCCUCCUCCCCUUUUCCCUUCUUAUUCCCCCUCCCAGUCCCCCUCCACCCAGGACCAGGCCCCUGACAGCACUCCCCAGGGGUUACUUUGCAAACCAAGGGACAACCAACUUCUCUCUGAGGAUAGUCGGUAUCCGACGUGGAGACUCUGACAUCUGCAGACAGUACCUCCCUCAAAUACCUCACCCACGCUGUGUGGAUGGUGUUGGGCGGACUGUCCGAGCUCAACCAGCAGAGAAUUUGGCAGUACAUCCAACCGGCCUCACAACCGCAAACCACGUGUAACCACGCCAGCCCAGGACCUCCACAUCCGGCUCCUUCACCUGCGGGACCAGCCACUAGGACAGCUGAGGAAACUGUGGAGCAUUUCUGUCUGUAAUAAAGAUCUUUUGUGGGGAAAUUGGCUGGCCCUGGCUCCUCAGUGGGUGGGCCUGGCUCCCAAGUGGGUGGGCCUAUGCCCUCCCAGGCCCACCCAUGGUUGCGCCCCUGCCCAGUCAUGUGACAUAC